rnacentral:misc_RNA from 1 species
ACGGAAGAGGGAGACUAUCAGGUCAAGUUGCGUAACCUGAUUCGUUUCCUAUCUGAAGGGGACAAGGCCAAGGUAUCGCUACGAUUCCGUGGUCGCGAGAUGGCUCAUCAGGAGCUGGGCAUGGAGCUGUUGAAGCGGGUCGAAGCUGACCUGCUUGAAUACGGCACCGUUGAACAGCACCCGAAAAUGGAAGGUCGUCAAUUGAUGAUGGUCAUCGCUCCCAAGAAGAAAAAGUAACCUCCGGGGCAACGCCAGGCCUCAUGGUUAUCUUAUUAACGCUACAUGCGGAGUACAUGAACAUGGCAAAAGUAAAAAUGAAGACCA